UACGGAGGAUCCGAGCGUUAUCCGGAUUUAUUGGGUUUAAAGGGUGCGUAGGCGGCCUGUUAAGUCAGGGGUGAAAGACGGUAGCUCAGCUAUCGCAGUGCCUUUGAUACUGAUAGGCUUGAAUGUAGUUGAGGUAGGCGGAAUGUGACAAGUAGCGGUGAAAUGCAUAGAUAUGUCACAGAACACCGAUUGCGAAGGCAGCUUACUAAGCUAUAAUUGACGUUGAGGCUCGAAAGCGUGGGGAUCAAACAGG
rnacentral:rRNA from 1 species